GAUGAACGCUGGCGGCGUGCCUAAUACAUGCAAGUCGAGCGAACAGACGAGGAGCUUGCUCCUCUGACGUUAGCGGCGGACGGGUGAGUAACACGUGGAUAACCUACCUAUAAGACUGGGAUAACUUCGGGAAACCGGAGCUAAUACCGGAUAAUAUAUUGAACCGCAUGGUUCAAUAGUGAAGGACGGUUUUGCUGUCACUUAUAGAUGGAUCCGCGCCGCAUUAGCUAGUUGGUAAGGUAACGGCUUACCAAGGCAACGAUGCGUAGCCGACCUGAGAGGGUGAUCGGCCACACUGGAACUGAGACACGGUCCAGACUCCUACGGGAGGCAGCAGUAGGGAAUCUUCCGCAAUGGGCGAGAGCCUGACGGAGCAACGCCGCGGGAGUGAUGAAGGUCUUCGGAUCGUAAAACUCUGUUAUUGGGGAAGAACAAAUGUGUAAGUAACUAUGCACGUCUUGACGGUACCUAAUCAGAAAGCCACGGCUAACUACGUG
rnacentral:rRNA from 1 species